rnacentral:misc_RNA from 1 species
UCCGACUUGACGUCGGCAGUCUCGUUAGAGUGCCCCACUUAAGGCUGGCAACUAACGACAGAGGUUGCGCUCGUUGCGGGACUUAACCCAACAUCUCACGACACGAGCUGACGACAGCCAUGCAGCACCUUCUCACUCGCUCUCCGAAGAGCACCAAGGCAUCUCUGCCAAGUUCGAGUGGAUUUAACCCAGGUAAGGUUCUGCGCGUUGCGUCGAAUUGAACCACAUGCUCCACCGCUUGUGCGGGCCCCCGUCAAUUCCUUUGAGUUUCAGCCUUGCGGCCGUACUCCCCAGGCGGGGCACUUAAUGCGUUAGCGCCGGCGCGGGAGGAGUCGACACCUCCCACACCUAGUGCCCAUCGUUUACGGCGUGGACUAC